rnacentral:misc_RNA from 1 species
AACACUGUUAACCUGCGGUACCUGCGGAGGGAUCAUUACCGAGUUUACAACUCCCAAACCCCUGUGAACAUACCACUUGUUGCCUCGGCGGAUCAGCCCGCUCCCGGUAAAACGGGACGGCCCGCCAGAGGACCCCUAAACUCUGUUUCUAUAUGUAACUUCUGAGUAAAACCAUAAAUAAAUCAAAACUUUUAACAACGGAUCU